GAUGAACGCUGGCGGCGUGCUUAACGCAUGCAAGUCGAACGGUGAACGAGGGAGCUUGCUCCCUCCGGAUCAGUGGCGAACGGGUGAGUAACACGUGAGCAAUCUGCCCUGGACUCUGGGAUAAGCGUUGGAAACGACGUCUAAUACCGGAUACGAGGCGUGGGGGCAUCCCCAACGCCUGGAAAGAACUUCGGUCCAGGAUGAGCUCGCGGCCUAUCAGCUAGUUGGGGAGGUAACGGCUCACCAAGGCGACGACGGGUAGCCGGCCUGAGAGGGUGACCGGCCACACUGGGACCGAGACACGGCCCAGACUCCUACGGGAGGCAGCAGUGGGGAAUAUUGCACAAUGGGCGCAAGCCUGAUGCAGCAACGCCGCGUGAGGGACGACGGCCUUCGGGUUGUAAACCUCUUUUAGCAGGGAAGAAGCGAAAGUGACGGUACCUGCAGAAAAAGCACCGGCUAACUACGUGCCAGCCGCCGCGGUAAGAC
rnacentral:rRNA from 1 species